UGUUUCAUCUGGUUUUACCCAUUAAGCAUUUAAAGCAAUGGCUUGUCAUAUGAACUUUUUAGGUUCUUCUUUCUUCCUAUAAGAUUUAUGGGUGGGAAUCCAACCUUAAAUACUGGGGGAAGAAUGCAAAAACUUACAUUUUAGAAGUAGUUCCAACUUAAAAGUCCUUCACUAGUUAUACUUGAUUGAAAGAACAUGAGGGGAACAGUUGUGAUCUCAUUGCAUUUUGAUGAAAUCAGCAUUUCCCAUAUUUUUAUAUCAAAAAAGUGUAUAUUUGCUUUUCUAUCCUGUCGUCCUGAUUUUUGUUUAGUAAAAUUUAAAUUGUCUUCCAUCCAUCACAUAUGUCCUUAUCUUUUGAAGAUUUGUUUUUUUUAUAAGAAUUUCAUAUUAAAUAAAAUGCACAACUUGGUCAAGUUAAACUAUGAUCAUGAUAGAUCCAAAAUGAUGGUAAGAUAUCUGCCUAGGUACAGGAGCUUUUUGUAAUUUAUAUGCUGUAAAUAUACAAAGGUAGUGGAGAUACUCAUUGGGAACCAUACUGUAAUUUUUUGUAAUUGUUACGAAGAAGAGUUUUAGUUGUUUCUGAGUCUAUUCUUUGUUAUUACUCACUAUACUGUAUUUGAAUCCACAUACAUUGUUCAAUAUUGUCUAAUUCAAAAUUUUUAUAUCUAUUUUUGAACAACUUUCCACUAGAAUUUUGUGUUGAACCUUUAGCUACUCACUCGAUAAAUUGCACAAAUAUUAUUUUUGAUUUAAUGGAGAACAGAUGAAAAUAAAAAUGUAUGAAGUUUAUGAUAUUUGUGUUAUGCCUAAGGGAAAUAAAGAGUUGAAUUUUUUUGCUCAUCAAAAGCUCUUUUAAAUGCGGAUAAAAAAAAUCUCUUGUAACUUUAUUUUUGUUUUUCAAAUCUCACAUGCUGUUUGAAGGAUCCAUCAUUGUUUGUACAUAAAUGAUCUGUAUAUUUUGGCAAACAUGCAGAAAAUAUUUUGCAAUUAUGCAGAAACUUGCUUUGCAAGUUUUGGUGAUAGAGUAAAGAACUGGAUUACAGUAAAUAUGCCUUUUCAAACUGCAGUCAAUGGAUAUGGUAAUGGGAUAUUUGCUCCUGGAAAACAUGAACAGUCCUCAAUGGCACCAUAAUUUGGUUGCACAUUGCCAGCUCUUGGCCCAUUCAGCAUCUGUUUCCAUAUUCAGAAACAAAUAUGAGCAAGGAAAUUGUCCAUGUAGUGUGCUUUAUCCAUACUCUUCUAGCGGUUAUUGUUCUUUUCAUCAGUUCUUGGAAUCCAACUUGCAUGUUCUCAUAGAUGUAUGGCAUGAUCUCUCUCUCUCUCUCUCUCUCCCUAACAGAAGGAAUGGAUCAUUACGGCAGCAUGUAAUGUAGCGCAACAGUGGUUUAUUGUUAUUAUUUUUAUUAUUUCCCUUUUGGACCUGUUUGUGGAAGUAUUGACAUAUGAUGUGUAAUUCCAAAGCAUGAAAAUUUGGAAGUUUAUUAUUAUGAUUUAUUUAUUUAUUUCAAA